UAUAUUUUAGUGUAUGAUGCACAAGGAAUUUUGAAUUCUUAAGUGAUAGUUUAAUUCUAUUAAAUAUAA
rnacentral:tRNA from 1 species